CCCCAUUGUAACUGAAACUUUUUUUAGAUAUUCUGUUCUAUAGAACAGAAUAUCUAAAAAAAAAGUUUCAGUUACAAUGGGGCUCAUGU